ACAGUCGCAGUCUUGUGAUCCCGUAGGAUACACAUAUCAGUCUAACGCCCCGAGGGACGUACAUAUCAGUCUAACGCCCCGAGGGACGUACAUAUCAGUCUAGUGUUCUGCAGAAACACAUAUCAGUCAAAUGCUCCCGAAGGUGCACAAUAAAUUGGUGAUCCCGUGGGACACCUACAAGGUAAACAUCCCAAUACAAUCUAACAAUUUAUCCCCUCAUUCCAUUCAACCCAUCUUUCAGUUACUUCAAGUCACAAAGUUCUUUCUUUCAACAUCCUAACAGUCAACUUAUUUUACUACAGUCAUAUGUCUGUCAAUAAUAUGCUAAUACAUCAGUCAAUCCACUAUACAGUCAAUGCACCCCUCAGUUCACCAGCACACAGUCAUACUUUAGCGUAAUCAUACACCCAAUCUAAACGAGAAUCUCAUACAAACACAAUCUACAAUCUCCGUCCUGUCCACAUACACACAUUUAUAUAUAGAUUCCAUGACAAUCACGACAUACAUUCGACGUCAAGUCUACUUCAAUUCAUAUACAUUCAUAUAUAUUUUCAGUCAACCCCAGUAUACAUUCAACACACAUACAGCUCACAAUCACAGUUCACAAUCACAAUUGAGUCCAGUAGAAAAUCCCUUACCUGGAUCUUUAUGUAAAAUUCCUUAGUCGAACUAACUUCAACAAACAAACCCCAAGAGUAAAGAAUCGAACUCCAACAAAGCUUAAGGCGUAACUCAAGGACACUAACUCCAAAUCACCGAUGUCGCCUUCAAGAACAAAGAUCAAUUCAACCAAUUAAACAACAUCACAUCUUAAUGUAUUUACAAAUGUAAGACCUUAUUACCGAACAAUCUCAUCCUUACCAAUAUCUUGUAACAAGACUUUGACAAUCGACGUUAAAUAGAAGUUGCCGCAGGAUCUACACAAAAGACAUUGUGCAAAACACUUUUGCACGCGAACUGGUCCGCGAUUCGUAAAUGGGACAGCGGGUAUCGACGAAGGCAGAACGGUUCGGACGUUCAACAGCAGUUACGUGCGGACGGGAGUAGCCCGGCAACGUAGCCGAAUUCGUGCGAUGCGGCGUGACCUGCGUCGGCGAGGCUGUUCGUGACUGAGGCGUGCGACUUGCCUCGCGGACGGAGAUAGAGACAGCGGAGACGAUUGCAGAACCGUGGCUUCGACAGAGACAGAACCGGCUGAGACGGCUGGGCAGCGGCGGAAGAGCAAUGGCGCCGCAGAUAUGGACUGGCAGCGGCGCGGUCUUGCUUCGCGGCGGGGCUGCGGACGGAAGAAGAAAAUGGAAGGAAAGGACCGGCGGCUGGCUGCGGCUGGCUGCGGUUGGCUGCGGCGGGACGGGAAGAAGAAGAUAGAGGUGGUGGUUGCGGCGGAAAGAAAAACGGAAGGAAAGGGAGGCGACGGUUUGCGAACGGAAGAGAAGGGGGAAGGGAUCGGCGCGCACGCAGCAGAAGAAGAAGGGAGAAAAGAAAAGAAAAAGAAAAAGAAGAAAAGAAAAAUAAUAAAGAAAUUUUUUAAUAUUAAAAUAAUAUAUAUAAAAAUAAAUAAAUAAAUAAAUAAAUAAAUAUAUAUAUAUAUAUAUACCUUUUGUUUGGGCAUUACAGGUUCGGUUUCAAUGAAGAUUUUUUUUAUCAUUUUGCGGUUCGAUGCGGUUUUAGCUUCAAACCGAACCGCGAACACCACUAAUAUGUAAUGUUGAGAUCAACUGAAUAUGUUUGUAAUGUAGGGACUUUGAUGAAAGAAUUGAAGAUUCAGGAAAUUGUAUGAAAAAAAAUGGUUGAAUGUUAAAUUGACUUAUGAAUAGUGUAUAUGAAACAAUACAUUAUAUAUUUUAUGAAUGAAAUGUUAUGCAAUCAAUUUGUUAAACUGGUUUAUUUAUUUUAUUUCAAAUAUUUAUUUUAUAUGUAAUAAAUAAUAAGUUAUGUUUGAAACAGCAGUAUAAGGAUAUAUCAUUAUAUAUAUUGUUCAUUUAAGGUUAGUAAGAAUUUUAUAUUUUGUAUUUGAAAUAUACUAUGAUAUAUUGAGUACAUCAAAGAUGACAUCAUUUAUGUACUAUUGAAAAUAUGAAGUAGUAUAUAUAUAUGUAACAAAUCACAUAAGAUAUAUGUAUCAUGUACUAGUAUAUACGUCAUUAUUUAUAUAUACACACCUAAUGAAAAAAAGUAGAGUGUGUGGGACCCACGUAUAUAAAUAAUGAGAAAAUAAAAAAUGUUGACCCAAUGUAAUAUAUAUAUAAAGUAAAAAAUAAACUAUGUAGGGUCCACUGCAUGAAAAUUGUGUAGGGGUACAAAACUUCACCUCAACUCACCUAUUUUUGUCAAUAGUUUUGCAUUCACCUACUUUUGACAUAUGUUUCAAAAUUUACAUUAUUUUUUAAAAAAAGUUCUAUACAUAAUAAAUAAUAACUCGUGAUUGAAACAAGAGUGGUUAUGUAUGAAGGAUAGUAUAUUAAAUAUAAUAAAUUGAAAAACUUUGAUUGGUACCGUAGAUGAAAAUUUAUGAAAAAAUAUAGAAAUAAAAUAACUAAAUUAAAAACAGAAAUAUGAAUAUUUCAAAUAAAAGUAUAAAUCAACAUACUAAUAGUUUAAUAAUAAGAAAGAAAAAUUAGUUCGAUAAGGAAAGCUUGCAUCUCUUUCGUUUAUGACAACCACAUUUAAAACUUCAUUUUAGAAUGAAUUCUAAUAUUUUUUUUGUUGACCAACUGAACGUUUUACAUUCAAUGGGAUGAUGUCAACUUCAAUUACUGUAUUAUUGAAUAUAUGCAUUAGUAUGUAUGUAACAAAUCAAAUAAAAUACUAAUCGAAUAUAGAAAAAUAUAAAGAAAAUGAUACAAAACGUGAAGGAAAAAAACUGAACUAUAUAUGUGUCACAAAAUACGUGUUAUUAUAUUUAUAUAAAUGUAUAUAUUGAUAACAUCACCUGUCUAUGUAGUGAUAUAUAUUGAAAUUCAACUAUAAAUUAUGUAGAACUAUAUGUCACUAAAUAUUUAUGUUGUAAAUAAGGUGUAUCUAUAUAUUAAAUCACAUCAUAAACAUAUUAUAAUUUACGAGUAUAUUAUAGUAUAUAUUGUUCAUUUAAAAAAUAUAUGACAAAUAGAAGGUAUAUAAUUAUACGAAGUGAGAAUAUGUAUGUAUGAUAUUCUCACUGCAUAUUAUAUAUACACUAAGAAUGUGUAUUUUACUGUUUUAGUAGUAUUUACUAUAUAAAUAUAUAUUUUAAAUAUUAAUUAUUAAUGAAUAUAUAUAUUACUACAUGUGGUUACAACAUACUUAAGAUAUAAAUGUUUAUAUGUAAAGUCCCAAAGGUAAAAAUAUAUAUAUAUAUACAUUUUUUUUUCUUUUCUUUUCUUUUUCUUUUCUUUUCUCUCUUCUCCUUCCUCCCCGUGCGUUCUCCUUCCCGUUCGCAGCAACCGCCGCCCCAUCUAUUCUCCUUCCGUUCGUGCGCAACCGCGGCCCAACCGCCCCAUCCGUUCGCACAGCAACCGCCGUCGGCCAUCUCCAUCUUCUCUUCUCCUCUCCGUUCCGUCCAAACCCAGAUCCGUCGCUGCAACCGUCAGCCGGUUCGUGAAGUGCCGUACGCGUCACCUUGCAGCAGUCGUCCAGAUCUGCAUCGCCGUGCCUGUUCCUUUCUCCUCCGUUUUCUUCCCGCCGCGGAUCCAAGUCGAUCUCUUCCUAAAUUACGUGUCCCCUAUCAAGUCGACGUUCUUCUGCUCGUUGUAAGACGGAGUUACGAUUUGAAGCCGAUUUUCUUUUCCAGUUGAGUCGCAUUCAGUGUUGCUCUAUUUACAACCGCUUGAUUCGUUCUUGAUUGUCAUUUUUGCCUCGCCGUGAACCAUUGGGCUCAUAUUUGGGUAAGAACAAGUUAUGGUUUUUUUGUGGUUUCUUGGUUUUUGUUGAAUGCUGCCAUUGGAUUUAAUUGUUGGCGAAAUGCUUAAUUCUUGAAUGUACAUCUUGAUUCAGUGAGCGAAUCCUUGAUUUUCCAAAAGGUUGAAGUGGACUUGAUUUUCCACUUCUUGGGUAAGUUGUGGAAUUUACGUAUGGGAUAAUUUGAAUGGUUGAAACUAUUUAGAAAGAUGUUGAUUUUAUGAUUGAUUAUGUUUAGGAUUUGAUUCAUUGGAUUUAGUAGAUUGAAGAAGCUUCCCCAACUUUGAGGUAAGGGAUUUUCUACUGGACUCAAUUGUGAUUGUGAACUGUGAUUGUGAACUGCAUGUGUGUUGAAUGUAUACUGUGGGCUGACUGAAAAUAUAUAUGAAUGUAUAUGAAUUGAAGUAGACUUGACGUCGAAUGUAUAUCGUGAUUGUCAUGGAAUCUAUAUAUAAAUGUGUGUAUGUGGACAGGACGGAGAUUGUAGAUUGUGUUUGUAUGAGAUGCAGAUGUGAAUCUUGUGAUUUUCGUUUAGAUUGGGUGUAUGAUUAUGCUAAAGUAUGACUGUGUGCUGGUGAACUGAGGGGUGCAUUGACUGUAUAGUGGAUUGACUGAUGUAUUAGCAUAUUAUUGACAGACAUAUGACUGUAGUAAAAUAAGUUGACUGUUAGGAUGUUGAAAGAAAGAACUUUGUGACUUGAAGUAACUGAAAGAUGGGUUGAAGGGAAUGAGGGGAAAAUUGUUAGAUUGUAUUGGGAUGUUUACCUUGUUGGUGUCCCACGGGAUCACCAAUUUAUUGGGCACCUUCGGGAGCAUUAGACUGAUAUGUGUUUCUGUAGAACACUAGACUGAUAUGUACGUCCCUCGGGGCGUUAGACUGAGAUGUGUAUCCUACGGGAUCACAAGACUGCGACUGUACAGGGUGUCCCAAUAGAACUUUAACAAUUUAUUUUCCCCUGACGGGACCAGUAGAGGGUCUCUUACUGAGUAUUUAAAAUACUCACCCUUCUUAUGUUUAAUUUUCAGGCAAAGGUAAUAAAGGCGGCAAACAGGCGAGGGGCAGGAAGGAAGCGUGAUGCCAUAGGAAACGUGUUUUUGCUUCCGCUUAUGGGUUCUUGUGAGGUUUAAAAUGAAUUGAAAUUUAGUUUACAAACGUUGGUUGUAAAUAGUAUUAUUUUAUGUUUUCUUGAAUGUUUAAAAAUCAGGCCUGACUUGAAGAUGUUUUGUUUUUAAAUUGCUUACGUUUUAUUUUAUAUUAAUCAAAGUCUUUAUUUGUUAAAAAUUAACGAUCUCGACGUACUUAGAAAAGUUGGGUCGUUACAUUAUAUGACUAACAACAUAAUAUUACUAUAAGAUAAACAAAAAAAUAAAGAACAGAUUGAAUUGAAAAAUAUUUUCGAUUAUUGUAUGUCACUAUAUAUGUCUGAUUGUAUAUAUCUCUAAGCAAUAUUACAUAAUGAGGUAGUAUAUAUGUAACAAAUCACAUAAUAUAUAUGUAUUAUGGAGUAGUAUAAAUGUAAUUGUUGAGCAAGAAAUUUCAACCAAUGAAAUUACACCACGUCGUCGCACCCAAGUUGUGAUGAUUAUAAUUUGAUUGGAUUUGGGUAGUCAAGUUUUCCAACCCAAUUCAAGCCCCUGAUAAAAAAUCAGGCCAAACAAAGGGGCCUAAGCCCACUAAGAAAAUGGGCCCAAGCCCAAGUCCAAGCUCAACAACUCAACAAGCAAAUGGGUCCAAGCCCACAUAAAGUCCACAAAUUUUCUCUAUAAGUAGAGACCUUUGUCAUUCAUUCGAGAGAUCUUUUGUUGAAGGAAGAAAUGAAGCUCUGAAGUACUGAAGCUUUGAAGAAUUGAAGAUUCAAACUUCUAUAGAGCUCUCAAGACGUGCAAGUUCUUAUCAACUUCGAGAUCAUCAUCUUCUGAAAUAUUGAAGACUUCGAAGAUCAAAAUUUCCUUGAAUUCCAGAAGACUGAAGCUCAAAUAGACCGAACCAUUUAAAUUCAGUUUGGACUAUUUGAGACAGCAACAAACUGUGUUUUUUGUUUUGUACAUAAAUGGUGUGGUUUGAUUCGGUUUUAACAAGCGGUUCAAUUUAUACCGUUUAGACUUGAACUUAUAUAAUGUGAAAUUAUUUUUUUUUCUUUGAAUUUUUAUCUAAGUGUACUCAAAUUGUAUACCAUGUUACAAAAUUGCAAAAUUUUUUUUAAAAUUUUCAAAAAUAUCAUAAAUUGACUAAUAUUUUAUACAAAUAUAGAGUAAAAAUGAUCAAUUUACUCUUUUUAUUAUUAAUAAUAUAUUAAAAAUAAAAAAAAAAGUGAACCACGUUUAAGAUUUUCAUUUAUUAAAUAUUCUAUUAAAAUAUGGAUUAAAUUCUAUUAAAGUAAUAUUAAUAAUAAAAAUUGUCCUUAGUUUGCUUUUUAUGAUUUUAUUAAAAAAUUGUCCUUUUUUAUUUUGCAUUCUUUUUCAUAUAUUUUAUAUAAUUAUAGUAUAUAUUGAAUAAUAUAAUGUAUAUUUUAUUAGUGAAAUGUUCUUAUAUCAAUUUAUUUAUUUAUUUUAUUUAAAUAUUCAUAUCUUACGUAGUAAAUAAUACAUUAUGUUUGAAAUAAUAUUAAUUAUAUAUGAAAGUUGUUUAUGUUUACAAGAACAUGAAUGAGAAAUAAUUAUGAUGAGUAUAUGUAAUAUAUGUCAUUAAAAUAUUUGUUAUUCUCUAGUAUAUGUAAUAGGGGUGUUCAAAAUGAAGUUGAAAGCUGAAUCGAAUCACUAAUCGAACCGAAAUCGAAUGCAUAUGGUUCGGUUCGAUUCGAUUUCUAUUUCAAAAAAACCACAUAAAAUUCGGUUCGGUUCAGUUUAAGAUGUUAAGAACCGAUUCUCAAACCGAACUGAAUUGCUUUAUUUUAAAAACUAAAUAUAUAUAUACAUAUAUAUGUUAAUAAUAAGACUUUUUUAGACUUCAAAGCGGGUAUAGAGGCAAAAAUCAAUGAGGAACGAAAAGGAGAAGAAUGACAUAAUCAAAACGUAAAUGACAAGUUGUCUUGACGAAGUUUGUAUGACUGUAGGACUUUUAUUCAUCUUAGGUGGAUUUUAAAACUUUUAUGUGUUGUUGGACUUUCAAAUUUCAAUGUUUGAAACAUCUAUGUCUGUAAUUUUGAAAUUUCUAUGUUUAUAACUUUGUAUAAGUCGUUCGGUUUUCACUACUACAAAAUGGGUUUACUUGACGCUAGCAACUUUUACAUACUGGACGUUUUUAUUAAAAAAACGUCAAGUAUGAACUAUGUUAAAGAAAAAGCGUCAAGUAUAGUCUUAAAAAAUAUGAAGUUUUCACGAAUUUUUUUUAAUUAUUUUAUGUUAGCUUUAUUUGACGUUUUUUUUUUUUUUGCGUCAAGUAUAAAGUAGAUUUUACUUGACAUUUUAUUCGAGUUAAAAGUAGUGAACAUUUACUUGACACAAAAAACAUGUCAGGUAUGGUUUUAAAAAAGAAAAUUUUUACGUUAACUUUUAUAUGACAUGGUUUUCGCGUCAAAUAUAGUGGAGAUUUAUUUGACAGUUUAUUCGCGUCAAAUAUAGUGGAGAUUUUACUUGACGUUUUUUUCGUGUCACGUAUAGUGGACAUUUACUUGACGCGAAAACAACGUCAAAUAUAGUUAACAUUUUUUAUUUAACACUUUUAAAAUGUCAAUUGCCAAAAUGUCAAAUAUAAAACGUUUAAAAAUAUGAAAAUAAAAAGUAUAAAAAUCAACUUAUUAAAAUAAUUUUUUAAAAUCAACUUAUUAAAAUAAUUUUUUUAAAAUCAACUUAUGAAAAUAAAUCUUUUGAAAUUUUUCACUUAAAUAAUUUGAAAUCUCUCAUUAAAUUAAAUUUACUAAAAUCUCUCGUUAAAAUAAAUUUGUUGAAAAUUUUCCUUUAAAUAAAAUUAUUGAAAAUAUUUCCUUAAAUAGAUUUAUUAAGAUAUUUUAAUGAAAAACUCAUUAAAUAAAUUUAUUAAAAUAUUAUUAAAUAAAAUUUUGAAAUCUUUCACUAAAACAAACUUUUACAAAUUUUGACUAAAAUAAAUUUGUUGAAAUCUUUACUUAAAUUAAAUUUAUUAAAAUCUUUCUUUUAAAUAAACCUAUUGAAAAUAUUUUAUUUAAAUAAAUUUAUUGAAACCAUUUCUUUAAAUAAAUUUAUUAAAACAUUUUAAUGAAAAGUUUAUUAAAUAAAUUUAUUAAAAUACUUUAAUAAAAAAUUGUUAAAUAAAUUUUUUGAAAUUUAUCACUAAAAUAAUUUUUUGAAUUCAUUAAAAUAAGUUUAUUGAAUCUUUCCUUUAAACAAUUUUAUUGAAAAUAUUUCAUUAAAUAAAUUUAUUAAAAUAUUUUAUACAAAAUUUAUAAAUAAAUUUAUAUAUUUUAAUGAAAUCUUUCAUUAAGUAAAUUUAUCAAAGUAUUUUGAUGAAAUGCUUAUUUAAUAAAUAUUAAAAUAUUUUAAUGAAAACAUUAUUAAAUGUAUUUGUUAAAAACUUUAACGAAAAUAUUAUGAAAUAAAUUUAUUAAAAAAAUUAAUAAAAGAUAAUUAAAUAAAUUUAUUGAAAUCUUUCAUUAAAAUAUUUUACCAAAACAGAUUUGCUGAACUGUUUCACUAAAUAAAUUUAUUUAAAUAUUUUCAUCAAAGAAAUUCAUUAAAAUAUUUUAUUGAAAUGAUUAUUAAUGAAAUUUAUUGAAACAUUUUAAUAAAUUUUAAAUGGAUCAACUUUUUCCAUUGUUUAGUUUUUAGUUUGCAGUGUAGAUUAAUAAUAGAUCCAAUUUAUUGGUAUAUCUCCAUAAUUAUUUACUUUUACACAUCAUUUAUCACUACUCACAUAAAAAAAAUUACAAAUUUUGUGACAUGAUUAGACAAUUUGAUAGACAAAAAUAGGUGAUAUACAGGAGAUGCAUAUCUAAAUAUUGUGUUGGUAAGUGAUAUAAUAUUAAGUUCUCGCACAUCAACUUGAUUUUAUGAAGUUUUGUUUAAUAAAAAAAUCAUUUUAUUAAAGUGAGCAUAUAUAACUCAAUUCAGUUAUUUACCAAAAAAAUUAAAAUCAAAAUAAUUUAGGGUUUCUUUUUUCUUUUUUUGUUUCUUUUUAUGGAAAGAUUGAAGAUCUUGGAAACCUAAAACAUAAUUUAAGAAAAUUGUUUAAUGAUAGCGAAAAUUAAGAAUAAAUUAAUAAAAACAAAUAAAUUGAAACAAAAACUCACAAACCGCUCUAUUUAAUUUUUUUAAAAUGAUAUAAUUAAAAAAAAUAUUAUCAAAAACUAAGAAAUAAAGAAAAAUAAUAAUAAUAACAAAUUGAAAACAAGGUACAAAUCUAUUGUUUUCUAAUUUUCACCCUUUCAACUUAUUUUCUAUUAUCAAUUCCUAAUUUCUCCUAUAAAAACCUUCUUUCCUAAUUCAAAAAAUAUUCAUAAUCUCAAAUCUUUAUAUUCUCAUGAUCAAUCCAUGGAUCUUCCUCAAAAGUUAACAAAAACUCAUGUAAUUUUCUUUCCUUUUUAAUGUUUCUUUCAUUUUUUUCUAUAGAAAUUUUCAUGUUGAUUAUUAAAAAUGAUUAGUGGGCUUUUUUUUCAACUUUCUCAAUAACACUUCUUUCCUUUUAUAUAUUGUUAAAAAAGGUAUCCAAUGGAAAUAUGAAAAAUUUAUUGCUUUUCAAGUUUUAACCUUAAAACAAUAUAUAUGGAAAAGAUUUAUAUUUAUAUAUUGUUAAAAAAGCUUGUUUUAUUUUAUAUUUAUAUAUGAAAAAGUAAUUUUUUGAAAAGUUUAUCAAAUAUAUUUAUUGAAAUAUUUUAAUUAAAUUUAUUAAAUUCAUUUAAUUAAAAAUAUCAAGUAAAUAUAUUAAAAUCUUUUAUUUCCCUAUUUUUAGUAAUCCCUCACGUCUCCACGAUGAAACCCUAUUCUCAUCUCCACGCUUCCACACAACACAGGCGAACGGCCACUUCUUCGAAUCGACGGACGACUUCCACACAACACAGAGUGGCAAACGGCGAAUGGCUUCCACACGACGAACGCUUCCACCCGGCGAACAGCUUCCACCCGGAAAACAGCUUCAACCCGUUGCGAACAGCUUCAACCCGACAAACAGCUUCAACCCGUUGCGAACAGCUUCAACCCGACGAACGGCUUCCACGCAGCGAACAACUUCCACAGUGAACGGCUUCCACGACUGCGAACAUCUUCCGCACGGCGAACUGCUUCCGCGUUCAAAGGUUUUUAUGCUCCUCAUUCUUAUUGUAUUUAACAUUUUUCAAUGAAUAAUGCUUCCUUGAAUUUGAUUUAUAUCUUGUAAUUAAGGAUGAUAUUGUAAACCCAAAGUGAGAAACACACAAAGAGAAGAAAAUUGAGAAUGACUCUUGUAUAUUUAUAUUUAUUUGUGUUAUAUGUUUAUGUUGUUUAUGUUCAAAUUCGUAAACAAAUGGUAUAAUCUAAUUGACAAAUAGAGAAGACCAUCAUUUUUCUUUAUUGUUGUUUUUUUACAGGAAUGAGUAAUGAAAAAUUAAGGGUGACUCUUGGAUGUUUUAGACCGUAAUUAAUUUGUUGUCGUUAUGGUUAUAAUUAUCAUAUUGAUUUGUUUAUAGUAAUGAGUAAUGAAUUGGUAUAUUUACUCUUGGUAAGAUUCAUACUUUUGAAUGCCAUUUUUUUUUUAUAGUAAUGAGUAAUGAAUUGAUCUUGUGUGCAUCAUCAUAUCCCAAUUACACAUGCAUCUUGGAAGCUGGUGCCGACUGAGUUGAAAGAAAAAGUAUACAAUAUGAUUGAGGUAUGUAAUCAUCCUUCUCAUUUGGAAAUCAUGCAAAUACUACACAUUUAUUGUAUAUUUUGAGUCAUACUAUCUUGUGGUUAUUCUGUAGCCUUAGUAGCCCCAUAGCUUGUAUAUUUUGAGUCAUACUAUCUUGUGGUUAUCCUGUAGCCUUGGUAGCCCCAUAGCCUUGGUCUUGUGGCUAUCCUGUAGCCUUGGUAGCCCCGUAGUCUUGGUAGCCAAUCAUGUAUAUAUUACACAAUUAUUGUAUAUUUUAAGUUGUAUUAUGUGUGGCUAUCCUGCUAUGGUAGCCAAUCAUGCAUAUAUUGGUAAAUGUAAAUAUAUUUAUAAAAUAAUUUUUAUUUUAAUCUAGCACAUAAUAUAAUAUAUAUGCAUUGUUAAUUGGUUGUGUUAUAGUGUUCUUUACAAGUAGGUACGGUUGAAUGUGGAUAUUAUGACAUGAGAUACAUGCAAGAAAUUGUGACUAAGGACACAAACAUUAUCACUGGUGCGGUAUGUUUUUAAACUAUUUACAUUGUAAAGUUAUAGAUAGUAUAUUAUGACUAACUCAAAUAUUUUACAAAGUGUAUUCUACUUUUUAUGUUUUAUAGAUUGAUACAAGAAGCCCAUACACACAGCUUGAAUUGGAUAGACGAGGGGAGUGGGCUGGAUUUUUAGCUCGGUACAUAUGAUAGACACACCUAGAUAUGAUCAUGUUAAUUUUGUAAAUGGCUAAGAUAUGGGAAUGCUCAUAACCUUUUUUGUGGAAACGUUUUGUUCAUAGCCAUUAUGAGGGCAAAAGAUAUAUGGGGAUAGGCUUCAAUUUUGAUUAUAUAAGACAACUAUUAUCAUUUAAUAUUUUGGAAUAGGACACAUAUAGGAAAUUUUAGUUGGCUAUAUUGGAUUGGAAUUGUGUAAUUGUUGAUGACAUUGUUGAGAAUAAUGAAACUAUUGUUGGUUUACAUAUUAUACUAAACUUUUUGUCCUUUUUUUUGUUGUGUAAUUGUUCGUUGGAGAAUUUGUUUUGUUUACGGAUAUGUCUUAUUGAAGUAAAUGUAUGUAAUGCAGGAAAUAAAAAAUGAAAAAAGAAAAAUUUAGUAUAUUUAAUGUAUUAAUAAAUGGUAUAAAUGACAUUAAAUACAUGUCACAUAUACUAUCUUAUUUGAGUCAAAUAUACCAUUUUACUUGAUGGAUAUAUAGUGUCAACUAUAAAAUUUUACUUGACAUAUACAUAAUGUCAAAUAUACUAUCUCACUUGACAGGUAAAUAGAGUCAAAUAUAUAUCUUACUCGACUUGUAAAUAUUGUCAAGUAUACUAUCUCACUUGACAGGUAAAUAGAGUCAAGUAUAUAAUUUACUCGACGUGUAAAUAUUGUCAAGUAUACUAUCUUACUUGACACAAAAAUGAUGUCAAGCAAUAGAGUACUUGACGUUUUUUUAGUGUCAAGUAAUAGAACUAUACUUGACAGUCGAUUACUUGACGCUUUUUAAAACGUCAAGUAUAGAUUUACAUGACACUUUAUUAAUGCCAAGUAAUUCAAUUUUUGUAGUAGUGUUUGAUUUGAUUUUAUUUAUGUAUAUGUGGUUCGGUUUUCAUUCGGUUUGGCAUAGAUGAGCGGUUCGGUUCGGUUUCAAUGAAGAUUUUUUUUAUCAUUUUGCGGUUCGAUGCGGUUUUAGCUUCAAACCGAAUCGCGAACACCACUAAUAUGUAAUGUUGAGAUCAACUGAAUAUGUUUGUAAUGUAGGGACUUUGAUGAAAGAAUUGAAGAUUCAGGAAAUUGUAUGAAAAAAAAUGGUUGAAUGUUAAAUUGACUUAUGAAUAGUGUAUAUGAAACAAUACAUUAUAUAUUUUAUAAAUGAAAUGUUAUGCAAUCAAUUUGUUAAACUGGUUUAUUUAUUUUAUUUCAAAUAUUUAUUUUAUAUGUAAUAAAUAAUAAGUUAUGUUUGAAACAACAGUAUAAGAAUAUAUCAUAAUAUAUAUUGUUCAUUUAAGGUUAGUAAGAAUUUUAUAUUUUGUAUUUGAAAUAUACUAUGAUAUAUUGAGUACAUCAAAGAUGACAUCAUUUAUGUACUAUUGAAAAUAUGAAGUAGUAUAUAUAUGUAACAAAUCACAUAAGAUAUAUGUAUCAUGUACUAGUAUAUAUGUCAUUAUUUAUAUAUACACACCUAAUGAAAAAAAGUAGAGUGUGUGGGACCCACGUAUAUAAAUAAUGAGAAAAUAAAAAAUGUUGGCCCAAUGUAAUAUAUAUAUAAAGUAAAAAAUAAACUAUGUAGGGUCCACUCCAUGAAAAUUGUGUAGGGGUACAAAACUUCACCCCAACUCACCUAUUUUUGUCAAUAGUUUUGCAUUCACCUACUUUUGACAUAUGUUUCAAAAUUUACAUUAUUUUUUAAAAAAAAUUCUAUACAUAAUAAAUAAUAACUCGUGAUUGAAACAAGAGUGGUUAUGUAUGAAGGAUAGUAUAUUAAAUAUAAUAAAUUGAAAAACUUUGAUUGGUACCGUAGAUGAAAAUUUAUGAAAAAAAUAUAGAAAUAAAAUAACUAAAUUAAAAACUGAAAUAUGAAUAUUUCAAAUAAAAGUAGAAAUCAACACACUAAAAGUUUAAUAAUAAGAAAGAAAAAUUAGUUCAAUAAGGAAAGCUUGCAUCUCUUUCGUUUAUGACAACCACAUUUAAAACUUCAUUUUAGAAUGAAUUCUAAUAUUUUUUUGUUGACCAACUGAACGUUUUACAUUCAAUGGGAUUGUAACGACCCAACUUUUAUAGGUAAGUCGAGGUCAUUAAUUUUUAACAAAAGACUUUGGUUGAUACAAAAUGAAACGUAAGUCAAUUUAAAAACAAUUUAUGUCAGGCCUGAUUUUCAAAUAUUCAAGAAAACUUAAAAAUAACACUAUUUACAAAUAAAAGUUUGUAAACUAAGUUUUUAGUACAUCUUAAACUUCAAAAGAAACCAUAUGCGGAAGCAAAAUGACACAUUUCCUAUGGCAAUCACGCUUCCUUCCUGCCCCUCGCCGGCUUGCCACCUUUAUUUCCUUUGCUUGAAAAUUAAACAUAAGAAGGGUGAGUAUAACAAUACUCAGUAAGAGACCCUCUACUGGUCUCGUCAGGGGAAAAUAAAUUGUUAAAGUUCUAUUGGGACACCCUGUACAGUCGCAGUCUUGUGAUCCCGUAGGAUACACAUCUCAGUCUAACGCCCCGAGGGACGUACAUAUCAGUCUAACGCCCCGAGGGACGUACAUAUCAGUCUAGUGUUCUGCAGAAACACAUAUCAGUCAAAUGCUCCCGAAGGUGCAAAAUAAAUUGGUGAUCCCGUGGGACACCUACAAGGUAAACAUCCCAAUACAAUCUAACAAUUUAUCCCCUCAUUCCAUUCAAUCCAUCUUUCAGUUACUUCAAAACAUAGAGUUCUUUCUCUCAACUUAUCUCACUUUAGUCAUAUGUCUGUGAAUAAUAUACUAAUACGUCAGUCAAUCAAACUAUACAGUCAAUACACCCCUCAGAUCACCAGCACACAGUCAUACUUUAGCGUAACGUACACCCAAUCUAAACGACAAUCACAAGAUCGCAUCUGCAUCUCAUACAAGCACAAUCUACAAUUUUCGUCCUGUCCACAUCCACACACACAUAUAUAUAUUCCAUGACAAUCACAAUAUGCAUUCAACAUUAAGUCUACUUCAAUUCAUAUGCAUAUAUAUAUUUUCAGUCAAUCCACAAUAUACAUUCAACACCGAAUCUACAUCCAUACGUGUAUAUAUAUAUAUCAUCUCAUCAUCUUUACUCAGUCAGAGAUAAUCAUACAGAUAUACAAUUCACAAUCAUAAGUGAGUCCAGUAGAAAAUCCCUUACCUCAAAGUUAGGGAAGCUCCUUAAUCACUAACGUCCUCGAAACAAUCCUAAGCAUAACAACACAAAAUUCAAUUACUUUCACGAUACAUAUCCCACUUAUUUUCCUCAACGUAAGUUUCAACUCACUGAUAUAAUGGCGAACUGAACCUUCAACAAUUCACAAUCUGGUUGUGAAUGUAAGGGAGCCUAAUGUUACUCCCAACACCUCAACGCACGACUGUCGAACUCGCGGCAAAAUCCUAAGUGUGUGGUCGGUCAGCGGUCGGCCAAAUGAGACGUGGCGGCUGGGCUUCACGGAUGGAGACCGUCACGAACAGACCGCGAAUCUGAAUGGUUACAGCAAUUCUGAACGGUUACAGCAAAUCUGAACGGUUACAGCAACUAGUCGGCCGACGUCGAUAGCAGGUGGAGCGGCAGUUGUGAGCGGGGAGCGUGGCGGUUACUGGUUCACGCGGCGGCCUUGGCUUCGACGGAGACAGAACCGGCUGAGACGGCUGGGCAGCGGCGGAAGAGCAACGGCUGCAACGGCGGAAGGUCUUGCGGUACAGAUCUGGACGGCGGUCGCAAGGUGACGCGUACGGCGGCCGCAAGGUGACGCGUACGACUGCCUCGCGAACUGGCCGAUGGUUGCAGCGACGUCCGGCUGGGUUUGGACGGAACGAAGAGGAGAAGAGAAAUGGAGACGGCCGGCGGCGGUUGCUGCGAACGGAAGGAGAAGAGAGGGACAGUCGGCGACGCACGGGAGGAAGAAGAAAAAGAAAAAAAAGUUUUCUUUUUCUUUUCUUUUAUUUAAAUAAAAAUGUAAAAUAAAUAUAUUAAUAAAAUAUAAUUAAAUACAUAUAUAUAUUUAAUUAUAUUAAUACAUUUCACAUCUUCUUUCUCUCAAAAUAAUUUACCUUCAAGUUUGGGGCGUUACAUUCUUCCCUCCUUAAGAAACUUUCGUCCUCGAAAGUUUUAAUCCUGAAAUAACUCUGCUCAUCUCUUCUUCUCGCUCCCAUGUCGCCUCUUCAAUUCGAUGAUUCUGCCACAAAACCUUUACUAAUGGAAUGCUUCUAUUACGAAGCAUCUUUACCUCUCUAGCCAGAAUCUCCACAGGUUGUUCUACAUAGCUCAAAUGCUCAUCAAUCUCCAAGGGUUCAUAGUCCACUACAUGAGAUGUAUCGGCCACAUACUUCCUCAACAUCGAAACAUGGAAAACAUUAUGAACUGCAGAGAGAGAUGGUGGUAAUGCCAAGCGAUACGCCACAACACCAACCCUCUCUAAGAUCUCAAAUGGUCCAACAAAACGAGGACUUAACUUUCCUUUCUUCUCAAAACGCAUAACACCCUUCAUUGGUGCUACCUUCAAGAAUACCUUUUCUCCCACAUCGAACUUAAGGUCUUUUCACCGUACAUCCGCAUAACUCUUCUGUCUACUCUGCGCUGUUUGCAUACGUGCUCUAAUCUUUUGAAUAGCCUCAUUAGUAGACCGAACUAAUUCAGGUCCCAUCAACCUAUGUUCACCAACCUCAUCCCAACAAACAGGGGUUCUACAACAUUUGCCAUACAAAGCCUCAAAUGGUGUCAUACCGAUGGUAGCCUGGAAACUGUUGUUAUAAGAAAACUCCAUCAAAUGUAGAUGAGAGUCCCAACUACCUGGAAACUCUAUAACACAAGCUCGUAGCAUAUCCUCUAAAACUUGGUUCAAACGUUCAGUUUGACCAUCAGUCUGUGGAUGAAAGGCUGUACUAAAAUCCAAUCUCGUACCCAUAGCAGUCUGAAGUCCCUUCCAAAACUUGGAAGUAAACCGUGCAUCCCUAUCAGAAACAAUCGAUACAGGCACUCCAUGCAGUCUCACAAUCUCAGUUAAAUACAACUCUGCCCACUUACUAGCAGUAUAAGUGGAUUUCCCUGGUACAAAAUGUGCCGAUUACGUAAGCCUAUCGACAAUAACCCAAAUCACUGUGUAACCCUUCAGGGUUUUAGGCAAUUAUAUAAUAAAAUCCAUAGAUACAUUCUCCCACUUCCACUCUAAUAUACUCAAAGGUUGCAACAAACCUGUUGUUUUCUAUCUUGGUGCUUUAACCUACUAGCACACCAAGCACUUACUAACAAGAUUUUCCAUUUCUCUCUUCAUAUUACGCUAGUAACAAACUCUUUUCAAAUCCGGAUACAUUUUUGUGCUACUUGGAUGCAUGAGAAAUGGGAAACUAUGAGUCUCAACCAAUAACCUUGUCUUAAUUGCAUUUUCUGUUGGCUCACAUAAUUCUCUCUCAAACAUAAGUUCAUCAUCAAAGGAUAUGGAAAACUCCUUAACUUGCCCUACUUCUACUAGGUGAUGCUUCUCAAUCAAAUAAGGAUCAAUGAAUUGAACCACAAGAAUUCUUUGUCUCAAGGUCGGAUGUACUGACAACUGAGCUAACUUUGAGGUGACUUCCCCCACUGAAACUACAAUCUCAGCUCUCUCGUGGUUUUUGUCUAAUGAAACCUGUCUGGUAAUAAGUGCUGUCAAAAUGUGAUACUUUUCUACGAAGAGCACCAACUUCCACAUUCGCCUUACCUAGAUGGUACAAAAUCUCACAAUCAUAGUCAUUUACUAACUGAAACCAUCUUUGCUAUCUCAUACUCAACUUCUUUUGAGUGAAGAAGUAUUUUAUACUCUUUUGGUUAGAAAAUAUCUAUAUCUUUUCAUCAUACAUAUAGUGCCUUCAAAUCAUUAAUGUAAAAACCACAACUGUCAAUUCCAUAUCAUAAGUUGGACAAUUUUCCUCAGUAGGAGUACAAGCAACUACUUUAACUUGUCGAAUAAGAAUACCUUUUAAACUUUCCUAAAAGCAUCACUAUAAAUUACGGAACAUUCUGAACCAUCAUGUACGGUAAGCACGGGAGUUGUACAAGCUUCUGCUUAAGAUCCUGAGCACUAUCCUCAUAGGCUUUGUCCCAAACAAACAGAGUCCCUUUUCUUAGUUAACUGAGUCAAAGGAGUAGCUAUACGAGAAAAUUCUUAUACAAACCGUCAGUAAUAACCUGCUGAACCCAAAAAGACUACGAACCUCACUGACUAUGAAAGGUUGAGGCCAACUGGUAACGACUUCAAUCUUUUAUGAGAUCCACAUAAAUGUCAUCUCUAGAUACCACAUGGCUUGGAAAGAUACUUGGCCUCAUCCAAAACUCACAUUUUGAAAACUUUGCAUACAAUUUGUUGACUCGAAGAGCCUCUAAAACCAUGUUAAAUGCUCCUCAUGCGCCGUCUCUAUUUUGGAAUAAAUUAAGAUAUCGUCAAUAAAUACAAUCACGAAAGUGUCUAAGAGAUCGUUAAACACUUUGUUCAUCAAGUCGUAAACAUUGUUUGAGCAUUUGCCAACUCAAAAGACAUCAUAAUGAACUCAUGAUGUCCAUAUCUUGAACGAAAAUCUGCCUUAGGAAUGUCACUGUUCUCUAAUCCUCAACAAGUCAUAACCUGAAUGUAAUUCAAUCUUAAAGAACACGAACUUAUUGCAGUUGAUCAAACAAAUCCUCAUUCAUUGGUAAAAGAUAUUUAUUCUUAACCGACACCUUAUUCAACUUUCUACAAUCAAAACAUAAGUGCAUCGACCCAUCUUUCUUCUUAAUAAACAAAACUUGGUGCACCCCAAGAUAACAUACUUCGUCGAAUGUAGUCCUUGUUAAACAUUUCUUUCAAUUGCACCUUCAAAUCUUUCAACUCUGUUGGGGCCAUUUUGUAUGAAGCUUUAGAUAUAGGAACGAGUCUAACUCUAUCUCAAUAGCAAGACCAAUUUCUGUUUAGCGCGGUAAUCUUAGAAACUCUUCUAGAAAAAUAUCAUAAUACUUUUUCACCACUGAUUCAAAUAACAAAGAAACAUUGACUUCUCUGGUGUCUACCACACUAGUCAAAUACAACAGGUACCCUGGUCAAGCAACUUACUAACCUUCAUAGCUGGGAUAACUUUUAGCGAAACGAUAGUUCCAACCUCUUUGUACUUGAAACUAGCCUCUGGAGAAGGAUUAGAAAUUACAUUUUCGCUGAACAUUUUAUGUUUACAUGGUUAAACUACAUUCCAAUUUUCAAACUCCAAACUAGUAACUUUUCAUUCACGAGAAACUCAAAAUUGUUUCUUAAAGUCACAUCAAGACAACCAUGCUCAUCUUCCUUGUUUCUUUUCCAAUACCUCCAUUCUAAAACCAUUUAAUGUGUUUCGUAUAAACUUGACCGUGUAUUUAGUCCUCGUUAAAACCACCUACAUAACUUAUUUUUCUUAGAUUUCCAAUCACAAAACAGACAAUUUCGCUAACAACGUCUUACUUUUCUACUACUCGACCACUCCUUUGAACACCUCUACAUGGCAACAUUUUUCCUAAGUUUCACCAUUAAAUCCUUCACCAUUAAAUCAUAACAUUCAUGUAAUUCUAGUUUAACUUAGGCAAGGUCAUAUACAUAAACCAUACAUAUAAGCAUAAAGCAUACCUGACGAGAGACGAAGGGUCGCGUUAGCCAUAGGGACACAAAAACAUAGACUUACAUCGUAAGUCAGUCUACAGAACCUAAAACUUAGGCUCUGAUACCAACUGUAACGACCCAACUUUUAUAGGUAAGUCGAGGUCAUUAAUUUUUAACAAAAGACUUUGGUUGAUACAAAAUGAAACGUAAGUCAAUUUAAAAACAAUUUAUGUCAUGCCUGAUUUUCAAAUAUUCAAGAAAACUUAAAAAUAACACUAUUUACAAAUAAAAGUUUGUAAACUAAGUUUUUAGUACAUCUUAAACUUCAAAAGAAACCAUAAGCGGAAGCAAAAUGACACAUUUCCUAUGGCAAUCACGCUUCCUCCUGCCCCUCGCCGGUUUGCCACCUUUAUUUCCUUUGCCUGAAAAUUAAACAUAAGAAGGGUGAGUAUAACAAUACUCAGUAAGAGACCCUCUACUGGUCUCGUCAGGGGAAAAUAAAUUGUUAAAGUUCUAUUGGGACACCCUGUACAGUCGCAGUCUUGUGAUCCCGUAGGAUACACAUCUCAGUCUAACGCCCCGAGGGACGUACAUAUCAGUCUAACGCCCCGAGGGACGUUCAUAUCAGUCUAGUGUUCCCGAAGGUGCAAAAUAAAUUGGUGAUCCCGUGGGACACCUACAAGGUAAACAUCCCAAUACAACCUAACAAUUUAUCCCCUCAUUCCAUUCAAUCCAUCUUUCAGUUACUUCAAAACAUAGAGUUCUUUCUCUCAACUUAUCUCACUUUAGUCAUAUGUCUGUGAAUAAUAUACUAAUACGUCAGUCAAUCAAACUAUACAGUCAAUACACCCUCAGAUCACCAGCACACAGUCAUACUAUAGCGUAACGUACACCCAAUCUAAACGACAAUCACAAGAUCGCAUCUGCAUCUCAUACAAGCACAAUCUACAAUUUUCGUCCUGUCCACAUCCACACACACAUAUAUAUAUUCCAUGACAAUCACAAUAUGCAUUCAACAUUAAGUCUACUUCAAUUCAUAUGCAUAUAUAUAUUUUCAGUCAAUCCACAAUAUACAUUCAACACCGAAUCUACAUCCAUACGUGUAUAUAUAUAUAUCAUCUCAUCAUCUUUACUCAGUCAGAGAUAAUCAUACAGACAUAUAAUUCACAAUCAUAAGUGAGUCCAGUAGAAAAUCCCUUACCUCAAAGUUAGGGAAGCUCCUUAAUCACUAACGUCCUCGAAACAAUCCUAAGCAUAACAACACAAAAUUCAAUUAC
rnacentral:lncRNA from 1 species